rnacentral:rRNA from 1 species
AUUGAACGCUGGCGGCAUGCCUUACACAUGCAAGUCGAACGGCAGCAUAGGAGCUUGCUCCUGAUGGCGAGUGGCGAACGGGUGAGUAAUAUAUCGGAACGUGCCCUAGAGUGGGGGAUAACUAGUCGAAAGAAUAGCUAAUACCGCAUACGAUCUACGGAUGAAAGUGGGGGAUCGCAAGACCUCAUGCUCCUGGAGCGGCCGAUAUCUGAUUAGCUAGUUGGGGGGGUAAAAGCCUACCAAGGCGACGAUCAGUAGCUGGUCUGAGAGGACGGCCAGCCACACUGGGACUGAGACACGGCCCAGACUCCUACGGGAGUCAGCAGUGGGGAAUUUUGGACAAUGGGGGCAACCCUGAUCCAGCAAUGCCGCGUGAGUGAAGAAGGCCUUCGGGUUGUAAAGCUCUUUUGUCAGGGAAGAAACGGUAGUAGCUAAUAUCUAUUACUAAUGACGGUACCUGAAGAAUAAGCACCGGCUAACUACGUGCCAGCAGCCGCGGUAACAC